rnacentral:rRNA from 1 species
CACUCUGGGACAAGCCCUGGAAACGGGGUCUAAUACCGGAUACCACUCUGUCCCGCAUGGGACGGGGUUGAAAGCUCCGGCGGUGAAGGAUGAGCCCGCGGCCUAUCAGCUUGUUGGUGGGGUAAUGGCCUACCAAGGCGACGACGGGUAGCCGGCCUGAGAGGGCGACCGGCCACACUGGGACUGAGACACGGCCCAGACUCCUACGGGAGGCAGCAGUGGGGAAUAUUGCACAAUGGGCGAAAGCCUGAUGCAGCGACGCCGCGUGAGGGAUGACGGCCUUCGGGUUGUAAACCUCUUUCAGCAGGGAAGAAGCGCAAGUGACGGUACCUGCAGAAGAAGCGCCGGCUAACUACGUGCCAGCAGCCGCGGUAAUACGUAGGGCGCAAGCGUUGUCCGGAAUUAUUGGGCGUAAAGAGCUCGUAGGCGGCUUGUCACGUCGGAUGUGAAAGCCCGGGGCUUAACCCCGGGUCUGCAUUCGAUACGGGCUAGCUAGAGUGUGGUAGGGGAGAUCGGAAUUCCUGGUGUAGCGGUGAAAUGCGCAGAUAUCAGGAGGAACACCGGUGGCGAAGGCGGAUCUCUGGGCCAUUACUGACGCUGAGGAGCGAAAGCGUGGGGAGCGAACAGGAUUAGAUACCCU